UUGAAGUCUCGCCGGAGUCUCGCCGGCCGGUCGCCGGACCGCCGCCGCCGCCACCGUGCACGGUGGCCGGAAAAUUUAACCUUCACCAAAAUUGACAAACAAUACAUCAUUUUAUUCGUUUCGAUGAGAGGAUCACUAAUAUGUGUUCAAAUCAAGGUGGGUGUGAACCAGUUGGCCGGAAAUUGGGCGGAAAGGUUCGGUGAUACCCAUUUUGGGUUUUCCGAUUCCGGCUAUUACAGUCGACGAGGAGGCCAUCAAAUGAAAGAGGAAGAAGAGAGGAGUCAUUUGGUACUCACCUUGUGUCCAAGGCUUGCCUGAAACGGCGUGAAUCGCCGGAAAAAGGUGUCCAAAACUUCAAGCUCUUCCCCUUCAAAAUAGACACAAUUUCAGUUCAAAUCUAAGCUAUAAUCUUCUUUCUCGCGUUGAGUAGAUAUUUUUAGAGUAUUCAUUUGCCGAAUUUGGUGGCCGGAGGAAGGAGAUCGAAGGAGAGGAAGGAGGAGGAGGAGGAGGUGACGCAACUGGAGAAGGAGAAGGAAUAAACGAAGAGAAAGAGAAAGAAAAAAGAAAAGAAAAGAAAUGGGCCGGUCCGGUUCGAUUCGAACCGGUUCGGUCCGAUUCAGUGAUUUAGUCUCAUUCCGUUUGGUUUUUGAGUUUUC
rnacentral:lncRNA from 1 species